UACGAACUGUGCAAACGUUAUUCGGAAUCACUGGGCUUAAAGGGUGCGUAGGCGGCUUGUUAAGUAGGGUGUGAAAUCCCCCCGGCUCAACCGGGGAAUUGCGCCCUAAACUGGCGAGCUGGAGUGAGAUAGGGGUGUGUGGAACUUCCAGUGGAGCGGUGAAAUGUGUUGAUAUUGGAAGGAACGCCAGUGGCGAAAGCGACACACUGGGUCUCAACUGACGCUGAGGCACGAAAGCCAGGGGAGCAAACGGG
rnacentral:rRNA from 1 species